CAGAAGAGUAGUGACAGUUCGAAAGAAAUUGGCCACAUUUUGGUAGGAAAAUAUUUGGCUAGUGAUUCUGCAAACUUCUAUUUCAGGUUCCAUUUGAAUUUGCUGUUAAAGAAGUCUUGGAACAACUUAGAGCUAUUGCAAGGGGCGAGUAUGCAGCACCUACCUCUGAGAAGAGGAAGCUAGGAUCUAUUGUGUUUGCUGCUGUCAGCCUGCCAGUUCCAGAAGUUCUAGGUCUUCUGAAUGAUCUAGCCCAGAAAGAUUCGAAAGUUGGUGCUUUCUUGAAGGACAAAAGCUUAGAGAGCUGCAUUCAGAAGGCCCAUUUGACCUUGGCUCACAAGAGAAAUCACGGUGUCACUGCAGUUGCCCUAUACGCUUCCUUUCUUGACCAAAAGGUGCCGGUCGAGUUGGUUGCUUUGUUGUUCUCCGAAAAACUAGCUGCACUAGAAGCUGAGCCUGGCUCCGUUGAAGGUGAAAAGGUCAAUUCCGAAAACCAAUGGCCUCAUGUCACAGUAUGGACCCGCGAAGGAGUUGCUGCCAGAGAAACCAAUACACUGCCACAAUUACUUUCACAAGGGAAGGCUACUCGAAUUGAUAUAAAUCCACCGGUCACUAUAACUGGCACUCUCGAAUUCUUUUGAAUUCUACCGGUAACAAUUUAGUAGGAUCGUGUGCUUUUUUUUUUUCUUCUUUUUUUUGCAAGGGUGUGGCUUAAUGGUCAAUGAAGUGGGUUAGAACCAUGACAACUCAGGUUCAAUUCCAGCGGAGACAAAAAAUACGAUAUGAUUUCUUCCCAUCGAUCCAACCCUUGGUGGUGGAUAGAGUUAUCUAGUACUAGUUGCUGGUGGGAGGUAGCAGGUAUCCUGUAGAAUUAGUCGAGGUGUGCUCUAACUGGCCUGGGCACCACAGUUAUUAAAAAACAGUUUUGCAGGAUAGAAUUAGAUUUAGAGAAAUGUAUAGUGUCUAUGUAUUCUAGAGCGGCGGGUACUUUGACGAUUAUUGAAUGUCUUAAUAUAUUAGUUCUCUCUUAA